CUGUAAGCCGUUGAAGGUGUGCUGUGAGGCAUGCUGGAGGUAUCAGAAGUGCGAAUGCUGACAUAAGUAACGAUAAAGCGGGUGAAAAGCCCGCUCGCCGGAAGACCAAGGGUUCCUGUCCAACGUUAAUCGGGGCAGGGUGAGUCGACCCCUAAGGCGAGGCCGAAAGGCGUAGUCGAUGGGAAACAGGUUAAUAUUCCUGUACUUGGUGUUACUGCGAAGGGGGGACGGAGAAGGCUAUGUCAGCCGGGCGACGGUUGUCCCGGUUUAAGCAUGUAGGCGGAGGUUCCAGGUAAAUCCGGUACCUUAUUAACGCUGAGGUGUGAUGACGAGGCACUACGGUGCUGAAGUGAUAAAUGCCCUGCUUCCAGGAAAAGCCUCUAAGCAUCAGGUAACACGAAAUCGUACCCCAAACCGACACAGGUGGUCAGGUAGAGAAUACCAAGGCGCUUGAGAGAACUCGGGUGAAGGAACUAGGCAAAAUGGUGCCGUAACUUCGGGAGAAGGCACGCUGAUG
rnacentral:rRNA from 1 species